rnacentral:rRNA from 1 species
CCUACGGGGGGCAGCAGUGAGGAAUAUUGGUCAAUGGGCGAGAGCCUGAACCAGCCAAGUCGCGUGAGGGAGUACUGCCCUAUGGGUUGUAAACCUCUUUUGUCGGGGAGCAAAAGCCGGACGUGUCCGGCUGUGAGAGUACCCGAAGAAAAAGCAUCGGCUAACUCCGUGCCAGCAGCCGCGGUAAUACGGAGGAUGCGAGCGUUAUCCGGAUUUAUUGGGUUUAAAGGGUGCGCAGGCGGGUUUUUAAGUCAGCGGUAAAAUCGUGGGGCUCAACCCCAUCCAGCCGUUGAAACUGGGGAUCUAGAGUGUGCGAGAGGUAUGCGGAAUGCGUGGUGUAGCGGUGAAAUGCAUAGAUAUCACGCAGAACCCCGAUUGCGAAGGCAGCAUACCGGUGCACAACUGACGCUCAGGCACGAAAGCGUGGGUAUCGAACAGGAUUAGAUACCCCUGUAGUC